rnacentral:misc_RNA from 1 species
GAUGAAGAACGUAGCGAAAUGCGAUACGUAAUGUGAAUUGCAGAAUUCAGUGAAUCAUCGAAUCUUUGAACGCAUAUUGCGCUCUCUGGUAUUCCGGAGAGCAUGCUUGUUUGAGUAUCAGUAAACACCUCAACUCCCUUUUCUUUUUUGAAAUGGGAGCUGGACUUGAGUGAUCCCAACACUUUUCUCACUGGAAAGUGGCGGGUCACUUGAAAUGCAGGUGCAGCUGGACUUUUCUCUGAGCUAUAAGCAUAUCUAUUUAGUCUGCCUAAAAAACAGAUUAUUACCUUUGCUGCAGCUAACAUAAAGGAGAUGAGUUCUUGUGCUGACUGAUGCAGGAUUCACAGAGACAGCUUUGCGGCUGACUUUGUAAACUCGAUCUCAAAUCAAGUAAGACUACCCGCUGAACUUAAGCAUAUAAUAAGCGGAGGA